rnacentral:rRNA from 1 species
GUAAGGAAUAUUGGUCAAUGGACGAAAGUCUGAACCAGCCAUGCCGCGUGAAGGAUGAAGGCCCUCUGGGUCGUAAACUUCUUUUAUCUAUGAAUAAACGCCCGAUUUCUAUUGGGUUUGAAGGUAAUAGACGAAUAAGCACCGGCUAACUCCGUGCCAGCAGCCGCGGUAAUACGGAGGGUGCAAGCGUUAUCCGGAUUUACUGGGUUUAAAGGGUGCGUAGGCGGAUUGGUAAGUCAGCGGUGAAAUACUCUCGCUUAACGAGGGAACUGCCGUUGAUACUACUAAUCUUGAAUACGGUUGAGGCGGAUAGAAUGUGUCAUGUAGCGGUGAAAUGCUUAGAUAUGACACAGAAUACCAAUUGCGAAGGCAGUUCGCUAAGCCGUUAUUGACGCUGAGGCACGAAAGCGUGGGGAUCAAACAGGAUUAGAAACCCUUGUAGUCC